AUGGCGGAGGCCGCGGCAGCAGCAGAAACCAUGGCGGAGGCCGUGGCAGCAGCAGAAACCAUGGCGGAGGCCGUGACAGCAGCAGCGACGACCCUCCUCCCCGGCCUCCCAGACGAGAUCGUGGUAUGGGAGAUCCUCGUCUGCCUCGACCCCAAAUCCAUCCUCCGCAGCCGCGCCGUCCGCCGCGACUGGCGCUGCGCCAUCACUAACCGCCGAUUCCUCCUCUCCCACCAUGCCCGCCAGCCCGCCCUUCCCAUCCUCUUCAGCGACGGUUACCGUAACAUCCUCACCUUCGAUCACAGGGCAGACGCCGCCUCCCAGCUCCACACCGUCGCUCGGCUUGCUCUCUCCCAGCCCUUCAAGCUCGAGGCCUCCUGCGAUGGCCUCCUCAUUCUCUCCAAGCCUCCUGAGAUGGCUGGCUCUCGCGCCCUCCUCACCGUCUGCAACCCGGUCACUCGUCAGCAUGCCUCCCUCAGGCGGACACUCAAGGACUUCAACAUCUUGGGGAUGUACCCACACUGCCCUACCGGCAAGUACCGGUUGUUACUGCAAGGGAGGAGCUUCAUGGACUCGUCUACUGACCGAACUGGUUGGUAUGUCUUGGAGCUGGGCUCCGAUGAGGCACCUAGGUACAUUGGGUGCUCCAAGACCAAAUUGCAGUUGGCGAUCUUCCAUGCGCCUGUCCGGGUCCGUGAUAGCUUGCAUUGGCACCCAGUGUGUUAUGCCCCGGUGUAUGGGGAGACUGAAUUUUUUCAGCUUGAAAGAAAACUAGUAAUUGUAUUUGACACGAUAGCUGAGUCGUUUCGGCAGAUACGUGCUACCCUUGCUCCCACCAACUACUCAUGUAUCUUUGAGAUGGAUGACAUGCUUGGUAUCUAUAGCUGUAACAAGGCAAAGAACAUUGUCGAUAUAUGGGUGCUGCAGAACUAUGAAAGUGAGAUUUGGGACUUAAAGUACCGGGUUCAAUUGCCAACCGCAGAAAUCUGGGGGAAGUUUGAAGGCAUUGAUGGUGAUAGCUAUUGGUAUGUGACAGUUGUUUCGGGUGAUGGGGUCGUGCUCUUGCUGGUCAGUUUUGGUAAUAGACUGUUUUUUGUUGACACUGGUGGCGAACUGGUUGCUAGCUUCCGAGACUUACAUGUUGGUGAACAUCGGCUCAAACAAACUCUUGUCCCGCAUGAUUUCUUCAUGACACUGGAAGGCUAUGCCGUGGAUGCUUCACCUUUCAUCUGA
rnacentral:rRNA from 1 species